CUAAAUAAUACGAGUAAAUGGCAGGGAUAAUGGUUUUUUUACACUAAAUUAAUUUUAAAAACACACUAAAUUAAUAAAUUUAAAACAUUAUGUAAAAUUAUAAAAUUAGAAAUGAAGAUAUUUUUUAAAGUAAUAAAAUGCGGAGAAAAAAAUACGAACAAAUGGCCGAAGUAAGAGUUUUUAACUAACUUUUUUUUUCAACUUGCAGGCAUCGCAAUGGCUUCAUUGAUUAGCAGCAAAAGCCACAUAUCUGAUGCGGUUAAUAACGCGGUAUGAGUUAUUAUUUAUUAAUCACGGGUUCUAUUUAUUUAAAAAGGAUAGACGUACAAAGAAAUAAUGUUAUCGUAAAUUUUUUUCUGUAAUUUAACACUAUCAGGAC
rnacentral:lncRNA from 1 species